UAUGAGACAUAUCAAACUAAGACAGGCGAUGAAUCCAAAACAAUUGCAUUGAAGGAGAGUGAAUUGCCCUACCUUGAAUUUAUGAACAAAUUUUGUAUUAUGAUUUAUCCACAUAUCCAACAUUGUCAUGGUGCACGAUGGCAAGCUAAAUAAUUUCGUGAUUCCAAAAAUUGUUUUCCACCUUGUUGUAUUCUUUUAAUUGUAGAUUUCUCCAAGAACUAUACAUUUGCCCCUCAAUCGCAAAUUCAAGCUCAAUAUUAUCAUUAUGAUCAAGUUGCAAUAUUUGUGCAAGUGACCUAUAGACACGCACAAUUCGAUGUGGAUGGGGUAGAAAACUGUACUGAUCCAAAUGAACACAUUAUCAUCAAGGAGCUUCAUUUCUAUAUCAGCGGUGAUAAGGUUCAUGAUAGGAGCUACGUAGCUCAUUGUUUUGCAAUGUUUUUUGAAGAUCUUGCAAAUCCUGGGAUAAAUGUUUCACAACAUUGUAUUUGGUCAGAUGGUUGUGCAUGUGAGUACAUAAGUUUUAAUUCAUUUUUAUCUAUAUGUAAAUGUGUAUUUGAUUUCAAUUUGAUAAAUUUUAUUUUAUAUGUUCAAUUGUACAUGUACAUGACAUACAACUUUAUGGAGUAGGACAAUUUAAAUUUGCAAGCCUUUAAUUGGCUAUCCAUGCAACAUGCUAGACACAAUGUUAAGUUUAUGUGGAACUUCUUUGAAAGUGGACAUGAAAAAGGAGAGCACGAUGGAGCAGGAGCAUGUGUGAAGUGUGCACUUCACCAACAUGAACUUGCAGGUAAUAGCAUAGAGAAUUCAAACAAAAUUGUUGAAUGGUGUCAAAGUCUUUUUGCUAGUCGGGACACGCCAUACAACAAACACUAUUUUUGGAAAGUGAAAGAAGUUUACAUCAAGUGAUGACUACAAGACACCACAAGCCUCCAUUGCUUCAAGUAAGAGUAAAAUCAUGCUUUUGUGCUGACUGUGUUGAAGACAAUCCAAUGAGUCAAUGCGAGAAUAUUGCAAAUGGAUAUGUCUCACAAUGGGAUAUGAAGAUGAUGAAAAUGACAGAUAUUCAUGAUCCUAUAAUUCAACUAAUUAUGAACGUGUUUCUAAUUUAGUCGUUACAGAUCCUGGCAAUGUGGAAGGUGUAGAUUAUUAUCUAGUAAGAUGCACAAAAACGAAAUUCAAAUUGUCAGAAGUAACUAUAGACGGUGAUGGAGAGUCAUAUCCAACUGGUUUAGUUGUUAUAGAAGGCACCCAUUAUCAACAAACUAAGAUAGACAAAAACGGUGUUCAAUUUAUUGAAUAAAUGCUUGGAAAAACAGUUCUACAUUACAGUCACUUGGUUAUAGUGACAAAGCUGCAAUUUGAGACAUUGCCAAAAAAAGGACGUGGCAACCAAAAGUGGAGGUUACCUUUUGAAGAACAUGAAUUUUUUUUGGAGAUAAUAAAAGAUAGAGAGGAUCCAAACUAUAUGUAUUAGGAGCUAACUUAGGCUAUCUAACUUGUUUUUGUAGCUCAUACUUUUAUAUUUGAACUAGAGUUUGAACUCAUGUUUAAUUUGAA